UAUGCACUCUGUUAAAGCCAGACAUCAUUGUUGGUGUUCUGGUGUCGGAAGUGUGCUAGAGUGAGCUGGCUGGGUGUUUACAAGCACCAUGAGGGCUCUUGUCCCAUGAGUGGUGCUGUAUAAGACAUGGCCACAUUU
rnacentral:snoRNA from 1 species